UGGGGAAUUUUGGACAAUGGGCGCAAGCCUGAUCCAGCCAUGCCGCGUGCGGGAAGAAGGCCUUCGGGUUGUAAACCGCUUUUGUCAGGGAAGAAAUCUUCUGAGUUAAUACCUCGGGAGGAUGACGGUACCUGAAGAAUAAGCACCGGCUAACUACGUGCCAGCAGCCGCGGUAAUACGUAGGGUGCAAGCGUUAAUCGGAAUUACUGGGCGUAAAGCGUGCGCAGGCGGUUUUGUAAGACAGAGGUGAAAUCCCCGGGCUCAACCUGGGAACUGCCUUUGUGACUGCAAGGCUUGAGUGCGGCAGAGGGGGAUGGAAUUCCGCGUGUAGCAGUGAAAUGCGUAGAUAUGCGGAGGAACACCGAUGGCGAAGGCAAUCCCCUGGGCCUGCACUGACGCUCAUGCACGAAAGCGUGGGGAGCAAAACAGGAUUGGAUACCCUGGUAGUCCACGCCCUAAACGAUGUCAACUGGUUGUUGGGAAGGUUCCUUCUCAGUAACGUAGCUAACGCGUGAAGUUGACCGCCUGGGGAGUACGGCCGCAAGGUUGAAACUCAAAGGAAUUGAC
rnacentral:rRNA from 1 species